CCUACGGGUGGCAGCAGUGAGGAAUAUUGGUCAAUGGACGAGAGUCUGAACCAGCCAAGUAGCGUGAAGGAUGACUGCUCUAUGGGUUGUAAACUUCUUUUAUAAAGGAAUAAAACGACGCACGUGUGCCUUUUUGCAUGUACUUUAUGAAUAAGGAUCGGCUAACUCCGUGCCAGCAGCCGCGGUAAUACGGAGGAUCCGAGCGUUAUCCGGAUUUAUUGGGUUUAACGGGAGCGUAGGUGGGUUGUUAAGUCAGUUGUGAAAGUUUGCGGCUCAACCGUAAAAUUGCAGUUGAUACUGGCAGGCUAGAGUGCAGUUGAGGUAAGCGGAAUUCGUGGUGUAGCGGUGAAAUGCGUAGAUAUCACAAAGAACCCCGAUUGCGAAGGCAGCUUACUAAGCUGUGACUGACGUUGAUGCUCGAAAGUGUGGGUAGCAAACAGGAUUAGAUACCCUAGUAGUC
rnacentral:rRNA from 1 species